rnacentral:rRNA from 1 species
GAUGAACGCUGGCGGCGUGCUUAACACAUGCAAGUCGAACGCUGAAGCUUGGGGCUCGCACUGGGUGGAUGAGUGGCGAACGGGUGAGUAAUACGUGAGUAACCUGCCCUUGAUUCUGGGAUAAGCCUGGGAAACAGGGUCUAAUACUGGAUAUGACAUGCCACUGCAUGGUGGUGUGUGGAAAGGGUUUUACUGGUUUUGGAUGGGCCCACGGCCUAUCAGCUUGUUGGUGGGGUAAUGGCCUACCAAGGCGACGACGGGUAGCCGGCCUGAGAGGGUGACCGGCCACACUGGGACUGAGACACGGCCCAGAGUCCUACGGGAGACAGCAGUGGGGAAUAUUGCACAAUGGGCGGAAGCGUGAUGCAGCGACGCCGCGUGAGGGAUGACGGCCUUCGGGUUGUAAACCUCUUUCAGCACGGAAGAAGCGAGAGUGACGGUACGUGAAGAAGAAGCGCCGGCUAACUACGUG